rnacentral:rRNA from 1 species
CCUACGGGAGGCAGCAGUGGGGAAUCUUGCGCAAUGGGCGAAAGCCUGACGCAGCCAUGCCGCGUGAAUGAUGAAGGUCUUAGGAUUGUAAAAUUCUUUCAGUAGGGACGAUAAUGACGGUACCUACAGAAGAAGCCCCGGCUAACUUCGUGCCAGCAGCCGCGGUAAUACGAAGGGGGCUAGCGUUGCUCGGAAUUACUGGGCGUAAAGGGAGCGUAGGCGGGUUAUCAAGUUGGAGGUGAAAGCCCAGGGCUCAACCUUGGAAUUGCCUUCAAAACUGAUAGCCUAGAGUAUGAUAGAGGUAAGUGGAACUCCGAGUGUAGAGGUGAAAUUCGUAGAUAUUCGGAAGAACACCAGUGGCGAAGGCGACUUACUGGAUCAUGACUGACGCUGAGGCUCGAAAGCGUGGGGAGCAAACAGGAUUAGAUACCCUGGUAGUCCACGCUGUAAACGAUGAUUGNUAGUGUCGGUACGGCGAUGCGUCGGU